rnacentral:rRNA from 1 species
UACGAAGGGGGCUAGCGUUGUUCGGAAUUACUGGGCGUAAAGGGCGCGUAGGCGGCUUGAUAAGUUGGAUGUGAAAUCCCCGGGCUCAACUCGGGAAUUGCAUUCAAGACUAUCUUGCUUGAAUUCGGUAGAGGUUGGUGGAAUUCCCAGUGUAGAGGUGAAAUUCGUAGAGAUUGGGAAGAAUAUCCGUGGCGAAGGCGGCCAACUGGACCGACAUUGACGCUGAGGCGCGAAAGCGUGGGGAG